rnacentral:rRNA from 1 species
ACGAACGCUGGCGGCGUGCUUAACACCUGCAAGUCGAACGGAAAGGCCCUGCUUUUGUGGGGUGCUCGAGUGGCGAACGGGUGAGUAACACGUGAGUAACCUGCCCUUGACUUUGGGAUUACUUCAGGAAACUGGGGCUAAUACCGGAUAGGAGCUCCUGCUGCAUGGUGGGGGUUGGAAAGUUUCGGCGGUUGGGGAUGGACUCGCGGCUUAUCAGCUUGUUGGUGGGGUAGUGGCUUACCAAGGCUUUGACGGGUAGCCGGCCUGAGAGGGUGACCGGCCACAUUGGGACUGAGAUACGGCCCAGACUCCUACGGGAGGCAGCAGUGGGGAAUAUUGCACAAUGGGCGGAAGCCUGAUGCAGCAACGCCGCGUGCGGGAUGACGGCCUUCGGGUUGUAAACCGCUUUCGCCUGUGACGAAGCGUGAGUGACGGUAAUGGGUAAAGAAGCACCGGCUAACUACGUG